CUAAUACCGGAUAAGCCCUUACGGGGAAAGAUUUAUCGCCGAAAGAUCGGCCCGCGUCUGAUUAGCUAGUUGGUGAGGUAAUGGCUCACCAAGGCGACGAUCAGUAGCUGGUCUGAGAGGAUGAUCAGCCACAUUGGGACUGAGACACGGCCCAAACUCCUACGGGAGGCAGCAGUGGGGAAUAUUGGACAAUGGGCGCAAGCCUGAUCCAGCCAUGCCGCGUGAGUGAUGAAGGCCCUAGGGUUGUAAAGCUCUUUUGUGCGGGAAGAUAAUGACGGUACCGCAAGAAUAAGCCCCGGCUA
rnacentral:rRNA from 1 species